UCUUAUGGAUGAGCAAAGAAAGUAGUUCUUGAGAUGGAAUCUACUUCUGACAAAGAUGCUGUGAA
rnacentral:pre_miRNA from 1 species